GCUGUGGAGGGGGGUUCCCAUCACACCAUGCAUUAUGUGCCCUCGUUAUCCCCCCAGAACCAGAGGUUGUGUUCUGCUUUUCCUUUCCUGAAUACAACCUUUGUGAAUAUGCACCACUGUUGAUUUGCAUUCAGACCGUUAAGCCAAACCCACAGAGCUGGCUGCGAGGAGCUCUGACAGCUCGGGUUCGCUGAGCACGUGUUGACGUGAAAAUGUUUUCCGGAUUAAUCUCCGUUUCCCCAGGAUUUUGUCAUCGUGGGGAACUGGUGCAAAGUUCAGACGAAGUCAGAGUGCUGGUAUUUUUAAAUACAACCUCUCACCUUCUCCUUUUCACAUCGCUGUUUGUUUUGAAAGACUAUUUUUGCCUGGCAAGUGAUAAUGCAUUGCAUCAUCGCAGUCAGCCUCAGAGCUCAGCGCGCUGAGAACCCCAACCCGCAGACGGGAUUUGGUUUUCUCUCUGACACCGAAUGAAACCAGUGAGGAAAUUGAGACCUCUGGGCAAACAGAACACCAUUCCCCUGCCAGCUUUCACAACAAGGAAAGUGAGGCAGGGCUUUUAGCGCGCUGCUAUCGGUGCUCCAUCUGAUUGACACAGUGCACUCGGGGCAACGAGGACCACAAAGGGUUGUACUCCUGAGUGCUCCCCAGGCUGAACCGAUCAGCGGCACGCUGCUUUUCUUUGCUCACAGUGGCUGAGUGUAUUUUACUGUGCUGCAGAUGCAGAGAUGGUUAUCAAGCUGGAAUCGUGCCUGGGCUGGCCGCGGUGCUCCCAGUGCUCCCAGUACUCCCAAUACUCUGAAGCCUGAAAUCCCAUUCAGAUACCAGUGGAGCAUCAUGCUCUCAGGACUGCUUCUGGAUUGCACUCUUAAUAUCCCAGAGAUCUGUGUUUUUUGUCCUCCCUUCCUCUCCCUUCCCCUUUUUUCCUUCCUUUUCAAACCAAGAUUUUAUCUGAUAGUGCAGAAAAACCUUUUGAAGUCAUCCUGUCCCCAUGCAGAGCACUACAUGCAGAUGAAUAGUUAAUAGGCGCAAUGCAGACGUAAUUACAGAGUUAUAAGAGCCUUAUUUAUGCUCUUCACAUUAAAGUGAUAUCACACUAUUAAAUCUUCUUACCAUUAGCUACUCAGUGCGGGGAGAGAACGCACAAGUGAAGCAGUCAUGGGAAAAUUUCCUCAUUAGUCUCUUAAGAGCAGCGGAAGACACAAAGUGGGGUGGAUCCAUCACCUGGGCUGUGACUGAGGCAGGCAGAGAGCAUUAAAUACUCUGACAUUGCUCCACCAGAGAAGUUUGCACACACUUCUCUGAUGUGCAGAGUGGAGAGGUCACAGCUGGAACCUCUUUUCAGGGAGACGAGCACACGUUGGGCAGCAGAACAUUGCUGUUGUCAUGGGCACUGGCUUUCCCUGUACUGUGCACGGAGCAAAUGAAUGCAGGAGGAGGAAGAUGCCCCAGAAAAGCUGCCUGUUUCUCGGCCUGGCUUCACAGCUCAGCACAAAGUCACCUCCAGUCCCACAGGGCCGUGGGGUUGGUGGCAUCGCAGCAUGUGGCUGGAGGAGGCAGGCGUGAUCCAGCACCACGAGCAGAUCAGACACAUCUCAAGGCGUGUGAUAGAGUCCUUGUACAUCAUGGGCACGUCCCCAGCAGCUGUGGGUGUUCAAGGAGGUGACGGACAGUUCUGUGGUGGUUGGAUGGGGUAAAACAUAUUUUUCACUGCAAAACUAGGAAUGCUUGGUGGAAAUCUUCAGCGCUUCCUCAUCCUGCGUAGGCAGCGUGUGCUAGCGGGCUGAGCUCGGGAAGGGUUCGAUGUGCCCCCUUGGAAAGUUCAAAAAUUCAACUGUUACAUUUUCCAAUUUGAAGCUUUCUUGAUGAUAAAUUACCAUUAUUUUUAUGAUCACUUCUGAAAAUCCUCAAGCUGGAGAGAAAACUUUCCCUAACAUCUGCAAUUACUUUUUUCCCCUCCAAUUUUCCAAAUAAAAGGUUAAAAAAGGGUUAAACUGGAUCUUUUCUUUCCCAUUUUAAAUUAUGCAGCAUUAUGAGAAAGCCUUGAAACCAAUUAUUCAAGCAGAGUUUUGCUUUCUCCCGCACUGAGGGAUGAAUCCUGCUCUUGCAGUGGGACCAAGAAAGGGAGAGAAUCUUUGCCAACCUUGUCUGCCUCAGCCCUGCAGGCCGGGGAGGUUAUUGCCAUCGCACCAGCUGCCAUCUCUCAUGUUCCAGUGUCAGAGCAGCAUGUUCCAAGGUCUGAUUCAGCUUUCAAGCCCUCUCCUUGUUAAUCCCACCCCAAUCAAUAAAUGUCCAGCGACAGAGGUGAGCAGACAGGACUGGAGGAUUCAGCUUCAGCUCAGGCUGCCGGAGCUGCUUCCCAGCUCUAGAAGAGCAACUGUGACUUCUGGGUACGUCAUCUGAGCACUAGGAGAUGGAUUCUUCCAUCCUUGACUUCUCCAGGUCCAUCUCAGCAUCUCCUCCCCUCGUUUCCUUGCUGUUCGAGGCUUCAGAACCUCCCAGGUUGGUGUCCACUCACUACGUGGUUACCAGUUUCAUCACUACUCUACUGCUGCCGGGGAUCUUGGCUGCAUUUCAGGUCAUGACCUGAGCAUGUCCACCCUGCCAUCCAGUUGGGCUGGGCAGUCAUUGUCAAAGAUCAGGGUUUGUUAGCACGGCAAGCUAAUACUCUUUCAUUAAGAAAAUUGCCUUCCAUAGCCUGCAGGAGCAUGCAGCUCAGCUGAGCUUCUGAUAAGACAUUCAUACAUUAAGAAGAAAAUGAUAAGUCAGAUAUAAAUUUGCAGUUUAAUCUUGAAAUGGUAAAUUUUUCAGCAUCUGAAUCUUGUUUUCUUCGGUCAGUACCACCUCUGCCCAGGCACACCGUGACUCACCUCCUCCUAAAUAUCCAGUCCAACUUUUACGUAUUGGCAAGAGUGCAAAUUCACUGUUCAGCAUUCCUUCCCAUCCAAAGCGGUAUUUGAGCUGGGUGGCAUGGGAUCCUCCUGAGGUUUGUUUUUCAUAAAUGAUCAUUCUCUCUGUUUUUCUUGCAGUACUGAACGAUCUGAUCUUUGCAUGUCACGUGUCAUUAGGUUUAAAGUCAUUUAGCAGAGACGUUAAUCUGCAGCUGGAUGGAGCUGUCUGGUAUGUGCCACUCGAGCUCAGCCUUUGUGAUCUGACACUUGCUCCAGGCUUUAAGAUCUUAAUGUGAUGAACUGUGCCUCAGUUUACCUUCCUUAACCGCUAAUUUGAUUUAAGGAUGGAAUAAAUGUAGAGCUCUUCUGAUCUGCACUGUUUCUAAUAGCAGUGCUUGGCAGCUGUUUGAGCCAUGGAGAUUUUUCCAUCCCCUGCAAGCUCCGCUGAGCCUUGGCCUCGCCUUCCCCUCUGCACAGAGCUCUUCUUCCUUCAGAGAGCUAUCAUAAGGGUUAGUUCAUUAACACCUCUAGAAGGCACCUGGAGUGGAAAAUCGUUGAUGAGUGUUCCGUUUGGGCAGCGCAGAGGAGCUGUCAGGCCAGUUCACCACUGCCCAUGAAACUGUCACCUCCAUUUGGAGUUUGCCUCUUGCACUGUCUGAGUGUGGAUGUGGAUGCAUCUCCCACCCAGCGUCAUCUGGGCUGACUCUGGAGCUGCAGACAGGCUUUUAUCUGCCUGAAGAAGCAGAGGGUGAGUUCAGUAGAAGAUGUGUCUAUGAGAUAACAGCCGACCACAACAGAGUUACUGUAUGAAAUAGUCCCGCCUGGUGACAUGGACGUGCCCCGGGAGUUCUGCUGACUGCAGGCAGAGGAAUAAAUUCCCCUUCCUUCCUUUGUACCCAUUUUAACCACUUGGGUUGAUGGAAAAAGAAUAGAGAAAUGAUUUUCUCUCCCAGUUCUGACAAUCCUGCUUUUUUCCUCCAGGGCAUUCAUCACACAGGGCUUAGAGAAAAACAAAUCAAGCUUUCCAUUUCUUUCCACUCAACGUGUGCUUGGCCGGGUUUUGUCUCUCCAUCGGUGAGAGGAGCGAUGGGAUCACGCUCAGUCCCAAACAGACAGUGGCUACAGCUCCAGCAGCAGCCCCGCAAAGCCCAUUCCUCAGCAGCAUGGGACCCAGCUGCACGGGACCCAGGGCCACGUGUUGAGCAGGGGCAGAGGCGCAGUCGUGCAGCAGCCGCAGUUGUGCCUCGCCAGCCGCAUCUCGCCUUGGCAAGCGGCAGCACGCACGUUAAAGCCAAUUGCUGGGAAGUGACGGGGUUGUUACACACUGCCACGCCGGCUCAUCAUCGCUUUUGUCAGAAAGUGACCUUGGCAGGUAUCGAGUGUCUGGCAGCACUAAAAAUAUCAGCUGUUGCUGUCUGCUAGGUUGCAAAACCACGGGCGCCCAUGCAGACGCAGGACGUGCGAGCGAGAUGAGGCUUUGCAAAGCCCUUCCUCUCCUCCUGGCAAGGCAGCGUCUCUGCUUUCUAAGGUUGUCUAUGAGUGCAAACUUGUUCCAAGAUGAAAAUCCCCUUUUGGAGGAGGGUGGGAGAAACCAAUGGCGAUGUGAUUUCAGCAAAUGAGAUGUAAAGGGAGAGGUAGAACUAAAGAGGGGAUGGACAGAUGGACCGACACCAGGCUGGGAUGGCAGGAGAUGUGGAGGGCAAGGGCAGCUCCGAAGAGACAAGGCGGCCCAGACAACUGCAGACAUCUCAGCAGUGGUGCUGGCAGAAGGCUCAGCGGGCUCCCUUGGCUCUGACGCUUUUUCACACUGGCUUCUUCCAUUCUGUUCAUGUUUCUUUCUAUUUCUACACCUGGAUCAUGGCCAGAAUAAGAAGGGGAGAUAGAAAACUUAGUGCUUUUCAAUUAAACGAGAAGCACUUUGCCAUUGUAAGCGAGCUUAUUUAGACAUUAAAUCAAAAUCAAAUGCUUGUGCUAUCAGUGCUACUUACAGUCUGAUAAUUAAUGAUGGCUUUCCCCAGCAAAAACUCUUCUGUGUUCUGUCAGCACCACUGUACAUCUUUGAUCAAAAGCUUUUUAAGUAGUUUCAGAAGCUGGAUCUUUAAAAUAAAAAUAACACGCAGUGGUAAUUCUCUGCCCAGGAAAUAAAUAAUAAAGGCUUGUAGCAUUUAAGUGUUGGAUGUCAGCUAAUCAACAAUUUCAGCAUCAUUGCGUGGUGGUGAGCUGAGAAAUGGGAAAAUGAAGGGGCUUUGCAGUUAUGUGGAAACUCUGGCAAUGUGAAGGAAUCUUAAAGCAGAUUAUUUUCAGGACCUUUUCUCUAACCUAAGCGGUGGAGAGAGUUCUCAGUGCUAAUGGAAAUCAAGCCCAGUUCCUCUUACGGAAAUAUAAACCAUCCCAGUCACAUUUCCCCUUCGCCCUGCUCAGUCUUGGAGGAGGAUAAAAGGAGAAAGGGAGGAAGACUCUGUGCAUUGAGCUGCAUGCAUUGAACUGUGUGCAUGAUUGUUUGCUGGGCAGAAGUCCUCAAGGUCGCAUCCCAUCCCCAGAAGGCAGCUGUGCACCUCUGGUGCUGGGAGCACACCGUGCUGCUGCAGGGAGGCAAGACUGGCUGCAGGCCGGGCGAACGCCUCCGGCAGGGUCUCCAUACCCUCCUGUUCCUCACCUUUCCUCAACUUAGAAUUGGCCUCCAUUCUCAGAUGGGCUUCCUUGCCUUGCCUUUUUCUGCCCGGUGCCUUUGGGAGCACCUCAGAGUUCCCCACCUCUCCGUUUGGGGUCAGAGGGACGUCCCUCCUGGUGCAUCUCCCAGCCUUCAUCUCCAACCCGUCUGCAGGAAGGAGCCUGCCUUCCUCCAUCAGAAUGCUCAGCAGAGCCGACAGCUGCCAAGUGCAAUAAUUGGGCCUCACCUCACUUUGCCUCGCGCUGCCAGCUGCCGGUGCAAUUAAGCUGCAUUAUUACUUUCUAAACUGAGAAACAUUUCCACUCCUCCCCGUGCUCCCCUCCUCCUUCUCCACCCCCCCGUGCCGCCCGUGCUGCGUCAGCUCAUCCCAUGCUCGCGGGGCAGCUCGGAGCAGGUGGCUGCAGCACCUUCAGAAGGGCCCAGGGGGCUGCUCCGUGCAGACGUGUGGGGCUCCGGGAGCAGCUGGAAGCCGUCGUUAAGAACAGUUUUUCUUUUGGCAGUAGUUACUGCUAGAAAAACACAACGUGACUUGAGGCUGCAGAAAGCAGCCCGUAAAGGACCUGUGAACUUUUCUUGCUGUGGUUAGAUUUGUUACGUUGUUUACCCUUUCUGAUGCAAAUGCAGUUGAAAUAGGUUCGGGUUGGAUAUUAGGGAACAUUUCUUCUCCAAACAGCAGUGAUGCAUUGGCAUGGGCUGCUCAGGGGACGGCGGGGUCACCAUCCAUGGGGGUUGUCCAUAACCAUGGAGGUGCAGCACUGAGAGACGUGGUUGGUGGGCAUGGUGAGGGUGGGAUGCUCCAGCCAUAAUGAUUCAGUGAUACUGUGAACGCAUAGAAAGCCCUUGAGGAAGCAGCUGGAGCCACCUGAGGAGGUGGUGUGGGUGCGUGUCCCAUUCGCUCAGACCACGCGGGUCUCUCUGCAGGGGGAGGUGGGUGGGUGCCCCGUGUCCUCGGCAUGCAGCGCACACGUGUUGGGUCAUCUGAAGGAAUUAUCACACGGAUGGAGCUUGCUUCCAUCUGCCAAACUCAGUCUGAAUCAAGCAGAAGGAGACAAACAUCCCACGGAACAUCUCAUCUCCCUAGAGGGUAUCUUCCUUUGCGUUACUCUUCUGAAUUCAACACACGAGGUGGCUCAGCAGAGCAGCCCUGGCAGUGGGGGCUGUGCUGUCACCAGGCCUCGUGCUGGUGGGGGCACAGGGGCUCAGCUCUGUGCAUCAUGCAGGGCUGAGCUCGGGGCUGGGGGCUGUCCCUCCCCCCCCAUCACACAUGGUGCCUGCUCUGUGCUCCGUGAGACGGCAGCCUCACCCCGCCUGAGCCGGGAAGGGGAAGCUAACUUCUACAAGCGAUUAACUAAUUAAAAUGCGCUCGAACAAUUGCAGUUGAGUGUCUGACUAUAACCUUCAGCUCUGGCUUAAUUAGUACAUAAACCUUGCUUUACGUCCUGUGCGAAGGGUUGAAUUGAAUGUGCUUGGAAUUAUCUGCUCAGUGCAGCGAGGAGACCAGGUACCAGCAGCUCCCUGCUAUCAGUACUCCUCCCCACCUGACUGGGCUGUGACCAUGCACUUACCUCUUACGGUGCCCUGAAUGAGUUUAAUGACUUCGGGUCAGUAAGGACGGGGCUGGGAGAGCUGUUAGCCUAUGUGAUGGCAUUACAUGGAGAAAAAGUCUGAAUCUGUUUCCAGCACCAGAAGAAAUAGAUUUGUAUUUGCUCAUAAUCAUAUGUUUUUAGCUAAAUUAAUCACUGGAUUAGAUCUAGUUCUGGUUCAGCAGAACCGCACCGUGCUGUGCUUAUCCUGAUCUGACUCCCUGGCUUCAUGUGAGCUGAGUCUGUGGGUGCUGGUAUGGAGAGAGGGAAGAACAACCCAGUGGUAACCAGUGGGGGCUUUGCAGAGCUGGCUGGGCAGGGACGCUCAGUGGCUGGUGUGAAAUAUUUGGGGCUUGACUUGAUACGGAUGAUGUUCUCCAAGUUCAUAGCAAAACAAAACUGGGUAAGAAAUCAUUCCAGCCGGAACAAAACAUUUGCUUCAUUUGCAGUUGUUCAGUCAGUUGUUCAAUCGGAUAGAAAGAAAUGGAGUGAUGAAAUACCGGUUCAAAAGAAAACAUUGGAAGGUUUCAGUAUGGGAAUUUGAAGUGGGGGAAGGAGACCAGCAAGGUGAAGUGCAUGAACUCAUAGCUCUGCUGGCCGCAGUGCAAGUGCUGCAACACAAAGCACCUGAGCCCGGCUGCACUGCAGGAGGUGACUGGAGUCCUCGCCUGGUGCACCCAGGAAAAGGAACGGCAGAGCUUUUAAUUAGAGAACUGCUGAAACGUGAUGUUCCAGAGAUCAGAACUUCUCAAGCACUUAGAGUUAUUUUGGGGUCCAAAUGGACUUUUUCUUCUGACAAGUUCUGGUUCUAGCGUUUCUCAAUGGGAAAAGAUGAGGUAAUCUCCUGGGCAAGCUGUCGCUAUUCCUGGUACCCGCAGCAGCUUCUUGAACCCCUUCACGUACUCUCACUUUUCCCCUCCCACACACAGUGCUGAGAAAUAAAUCCUUUGGAAAUGGAAAUCAGGCUCGAAGUAAACAGAUUAGUAAUGGUUAGUUGGUAACUCUUUAUUAAUUAAAUGUCCUAAAUACAUCUAAGCCUAGGCAUUUAAUUUAGAUUUAUAAGGAUAAUUUAGAUUUAUAACAAUAGUUAUUAUACAUUAAGUACAAUAAAUGCCAAUUGAUUUUUAUAGACAAUAUUUACUCAGGUGUAACUGCACAGCAAAAUUUAAUUAUCUUCCUGCUUUGUUAGAAGGAUGAGGCUGAGCUUUCAGUAGCAGGACCCUGUGAGAGGGCUGGCAGCGAAGGGAGCUGCUCCCACUACCCCCACCUUAGAAAGCCAACCUUGAUCUUGCCCCACUCCAUAACUGCAAAGUAAGAAGCUCGCCCUGCAUCUUUCAAUGGGAAAAGUGAUGGGAAAUCUUGGUGUUGGCUGUGGGCUGCAGCAGCUGCCCAAGGACUAAGAGGUUGGCUGCUGAAGCUCGGCCCCCACAGCUUCGCUUUGGGUAGAGGGAAGUGUAACGGAUCCCACAGAAUGUUUCCUGCCAGUAGGAUGCAGUGCUAGGCUUCGUGCAUGGAGAGGAGGAGAACCUAAUACCUGGUAGCAUCACUUGUCAUCAGAAGGGCCACGGUGUAUGGAAGAUGAUGUCAGGGAAUGCGGUGCAGUCACUGGUUAUGAACUGAAGAGGACAUUUCUGAUUUCUGCGUGGGAAACACCAAUGUGACAUUCUGGGAAUGUUUGUGGGUAAGGAGCCACAUCAGCGCAUCUCCGUGCUGGGAGGAAAGCGUUCAGAGAGGGGUUCUGAAACAGAAGGCUUUAAUCCGUUUGUUCCAAAUGACUUUUAAUUUUGCCAUUGUGUUCUUUUCAUUAACGGAGUGGAGAAAGAGUAUGACCAUCGUGGUGAUGAUCAUUUGCAAUACUAAUAUGUUUUCUGAGAAAUUCCAUAUCUGUUGGUAACAAAAGAAAAGUCGAAUUCCUAGGAAACCCUUCAGGGCACAAACCCUCUUUCCUCCCUGUCUCCAGCACUCUGGCCAUCCGAGCAGCUUUCGUAUUUUGUUGGCUCCCUCUGCAGUGGGUGCCUGCAGCGUGUCGGUGGAGCAGUCUGGGCAGGAUCUCUCCCUGUUUCAUUUUGCUAAGGUUUCUACAAACAUUUCAUUCAUUUGCAGUUCAGGGUGUUUCAUGUUCCAUAAGCUUCGCUUCGAGAUUUGAGGGAGAAUGAGACCGGAAUCUCAAGCAGAAGCCAAUGAGGCUCACCUGUGUUCAUGUCAGCCCCAUAAAUCAGCCCAGGCACUCAAACAAGUUCACGAACCUUUGGGAAACUCGGAAUGAACCUGGGCUGAAUCUCCAGGCUGGAUGCACAGUUUUCCUAGUAAAUAAUUCACAACAUGCAGCUGAGCUGGCAAGAUAAUGAUUUCUAAAGCAAAAAUAAUGUAAAGCACUGAUACUAUAUGGGAUAAACACAUUUUUAAUGCAGUUGUACUGAAGAAUGUGCUGGUGUAAUCUUGGAAUGUAAAUUUGCCUGCUCCGACCACUGUGACUUUCCCCACGUUUUUAUUUCUCUCGAACAUCACAAAUACCAACAGCUCACCAAAAUUAACAGGAAUCCCACGUGCUUAAAGACCUCUGCCAAAUCCACCCCGUGCUGUGUGUUCUGCAUCCUCUUUGAUGUGCAAUAUUGCACAUUCUCUGAAUGGAGAGUGUAUCGGUGCUGUACGGGUUUGUUUCACAGCCCCACUGCUGUGGACAGCACAUGGCAAGGGGAGGACGUGAGGAAAAUAGAUGUGCAUGGGGAACCCAGCCAGCAAAUGGGAGGAUCCUCUGGAAUCCGUAAUUGGAAUAAUUACUUGGAAUAUGAGUUUGUGGCAGAGGAGCUCAUGCUGCACGUCCCUUCAGUCCUGGUGCGGGUCUGUGAGCUGAGGAAUUUGGGUUUCACGUGGCAGCUGUGCUCGCACGCAGUUGCGCAGUGCAGUGUUGGGGUCUGAGCUCGUGGCACCGUGCCUGAGCAGCACGAAGCGCUGCGAGCACAAAGGAUUCAGGAGUGCAUUGCGCUCAGGAACUGGGGCCCAAAUCGAGAUCCCGGAUGGCAAUGCACAGAGGAAGGAGGGCAGGGGCUGCUCAGGCACUCACAGCCCUCUGUCUGCACCUGCCCUCUGGGUGCAAGUCCAAACCAAACUGCUUCUUCCCCCUUACUGCCUAGGGGCACGUGCAGGAACCCAAGCCUUGGCCUGGGAUGGCCUUCAGCAAGAGCAACGAGCGCCGGCCCGGCUGUAUGCUGAGAGCAGUUUACAUGACGCUUGGACAGGGCAGCGAGGUUUUUCUGUUUUGUUGGCAUGAAAGAGAAUGACCAGGCAGAGAAAUAAAGGGAGAGAUAAAUCUGCUCACGCGCGCACACACAAAUAUUGUGAUGAAAAUGAAGAUGGUUCUGUUGUGUGAAUGUUUCGAGGAGCACAGAGCACUGGGAACAUGUUCCAAAUGUCAAAUGGAUUAUACUCCAGCGCCCUUAUUGUUUCAUAUAAUUCUCAUCUAAUGUCACCCCUGGCAACAAUAAUACAAGUCUCAAUAUUCGCUUUGAUGGAGCCUCGCUGAAUAUUUUUAAGCAAUGAGGAAAUUGCCAGGGGGAGUGAGAGAAGGAGGGGCAGGCGGGAUGGGGACUGCACCCAGCACGAGGGUGACAAAACAGAUCCCCGAAUUAAAUCCAUCAGGAAGAUUGAGUUUGCAAUUUCAGGGUCUCCGACGCCCGCGCUGCUGCGGCUCGGCGAGGCUCGCGUUUGAGUCUUAAUCAUGAGGUUUGUCUCCAUCGGAAUACAAUUAGGGAGCCUGAGCUGGAAGCGAACAGAUCGGAGGAGCGGAGUGAAGGCGAACGCAGUAACACGAAGAGGGACAAAUCUUCGUCAUUCUGCCGGGCUGAACGGAGCUGUCACAUUACAAGGUCAGGCCGAAGUGAGCUGAUUUUGCGGGAAGGAAGGAUGAAAUGACUACAAAGGUGGAAAGUGCAGAGAGGCAGCACUGGCUCAUCCUCCGUUAUUUGAUUGCUCUUUUGACCCCACAGGUUUUCAUAAAGUUGAUUAACAGAUCCACGAGCCGUGCUGCUUCCCAUCCUCCUUCCAGGAGGGCUGAGAACACAGGAGCAGCAGCGCUGUGUGAGUGCUCCGAGAGACUGCUGACAAACAGCCAGCGGGGUUCGGGCUGCAGGAGCCACACACCAAGUGGGACCUCACCUGGGCGGCUCCUGGGACCACAGACGGGAUCAGAACGGCUGCAUCCAUUCCCAUCCACCCAACGUGGGGCAGCAAGCCCUCUCCUGGGGCUGGUCCUGCAAGAGAAAGCAGGAAUUAGGAGCUGCGUUCAGGGCAGGCUCUAAUCUUCGGAGCAUGAAGGAAUUCUCAUUAAAGUCAGUCACAAAGUUUAUGUUCAUUUGACCUGAAAAAAAGGUUAGUUCGAGGCAAAAUCUUUGUAUGGGAAGAAUGGAAAACACUUCAAAGCAGUUAAAUCAGAGAAAGAUGCUUAGCCUUUCGCUUAAUUCUCCAAGGAGUCUUCUAGCAUAGAUACAGCAGUCUGUUCCAAAUUGGUGCUGUCAUGCCAGAUGCACAGACCUGGGAAUGGACAAUUUGGGGUCCAUAAUAUUUAUAAUCUCAGUGUGUGGCCUCUCUUCUGUGUCCUGCUGUCUGCGCUGAUUGCACAGUGUUUGUCUUAUUCCAAGAGCCAUCAUAUGUGACACAGACAUAAUGUUUCCCUUCUUAUUUCUCCCUUAAAUUAUAGGAGUUUCACUGAGCUCUAUGAUUUGUGCAGGCAGUAUUACAGGCAUCAAUCACAGCUUGCCUUUUCCCUCCCAUCUCUAAUGGCACAAGGUUCUUUCUUCAGUGCUCAUGGUCCUACGCAGACCAAGUGUGAGUUAAAAGGUUUCAGUGGGGAGGGUCUGGAAGGACAGGGCAACAUUCAUUGUUAGAGGUCAGACGGGAGCGCAAAAAGCAAAAUACUGUCAUCUUGUGCAGCCAUAAUCUGGACAUCACCUUAUGGUUAAUGGCUCCUGUUUCAGGACAGGGAUUCAGGAGAUGGGCCAGCACCUGGCAGGCUGUGCCCAGCUCCCAGUUCCUGCUCAUCAGGUCCUGCUCGUGCUCGGGCUCUCUCCAUCGCCGUUAUGCCCUCUCCUUGGUUACAGAGCUGGGACCAAGCUGCUCCCUGGUCAUAACCAGCCUGACAUAUAUCUUAAAUAGGAUCUCUGCAGUGAGAGGAGGUGCGCACAGAACCUGCACAACCUGCUUGGAUACCACGUUACCAACAGGUGGUGAGAUAAAUCCCACGUUACGCUCCCUCUUCAGCUGGUGCAAACAGAAGGGUGCCCUGCAGAAGUCACCUUCAGUCCUCAAAUAGUCUCAUGCUGACUGAAGAUCCCCAUCUCUUGCUGUUGGCUGCAGAGCAUCUUAAUUUAGCUGCUCAUUGAGGUACCUGUGUCGCACUCAGGAGUGGCACCCAAGAGCAUGCAUGCUCUGUGGGCUGUACCAAGGAAAAAAACCUUUUCAUUUAAGCUGGAGUCCCCAGAAAGUAUCACAGCGGGCACUUUCAUAAACAUGUACCAUCAUAAACAUGUACCAGAACAGACUAAAGGAGAUUUAGGAUAUAUGAAAUCUGGAGUCUUCUUUGGAAGACAUGCUCCCUUACUCUCCCUGCUGAAAUUCUGCUGUUGGGUUUGGCUCUGAGUUUUCAGCCCGUGACAACUGACCAGACAGAUCACUGUCGGAAUUGUCCCCUUCCUGAGGAGUGAUGGAAGAUGGUUUAGCUUACAGUAAUCCGUGGCCAGGCCCCCGAGGGGUGUCCUUUCAGUGCCCUUCCUCCUCUCAUCCCAGUGAAAUGCAAUAAUGGCCGGCCACCUGCAACUUGCUUUUGUACUGCUGGUGUUUGGCAUUCUCUUUGCUGCUGCCUGAGGGUAUGCGCCAAUCUGUUAAUACAUAUAUAAAUAUUAUCCUUAUUAAUCCCUCAGAGAAAAAUAAUAUCAACAAAACUUAUUGCCGUUUCCUGUGUGGCUGACUGAGUAAUGUGAACCAGAUGAUGUUUAUGUUUAAGAAAUGAAAAUGCCAAUAAAAACGCAAUUUUAAAUAA